GAGGGUGUAGCUCAGUGGUACGGCGUGUGCUUAGCAUGCACGAGGUCCUGGGUUCCAUCCCUAAUACCUCCA
rnacentral:tRNA from 1 species